rnacentral:SRP_RNA from 1 species
GCCAGGUGUGGUGGUGCACACCUGUAGUCCCAGCUACUUAGGAGGCUGAGGUGGGAGGAUCACUUGAGCCUGGGAAAUUAAGGUUGCAGUGAGCGGUGAUCACCCCACUGCACUCUAGCCUGGGUGACAGAGUGAGAUCCUGUGUCAA